CUGAGAGGAUGACCAGCCACACUGGAACUGAGACACGGUCCAGACUCCUACGGGAGGCAGCAGUGGGGAAUAUUGCACAAUGGGCGCAAGCCUGAUGCAGCCAUGCCGCGUGUAUGAAGAAGGCCUUCGGGUUGUAAAGUACUUUCAGCGGGGAGGAAGGGAGUAAAGUUAAUACCUUUGCUCAUUGACGUUACCCGCAGAAGAAGCACCGGCUAACUCCGUGCCAGCAGCCGCGGUAAUACGGAGGGUGCAAGCGUUAAUCGGAAUUACUGGGCGUAAAGCGCACGCAGGCGGUUUGUUAAGUCAGAUGUGAAAUCCCCGGGCUCAACCUGGGAACUGCAUCUGAUACUGGCAAGCUUGAGUCUCGUAGAGGGGGGUAGAAUUCCAGGUGUAGCGGUGAAAUGCGUAGAGAUCUGGAGGAAUACCGGUGGCGAAGGCGGCCCCCUGGACGAAGACUGACGCUCAGGUGCGAAAGCGUGGGGAGCAAACAGG
rnacentral:rRNA from 1 species